rnacentral:tRNA from 1 species
CGGGGCGUAGCGCAGUCUGGUAGCGCAUCUGCUUUGGGAGCAGAGGGUCGCUGGUUCAAAUCCAGUCGCCCCGACCA